UCCAGUGACACUGCAACGGGCCUGGCAGGUGGCAGGCAGAACCAGAGCCAUUUCACCAGUGGAAGGGCCCCCAGGAUGCAGUCCGGAGUGCCCGCUCUCCUGUGCACAGUGGUGGCCUUCAUCCUCUUUGGUUUCAGCAAUACGCAGAGUGUCACUCAGUCUCCAAGUUCAGUGUCCAAACAAGAAGGAGAAACCGUGACCUUGCAUUGUAGUUUUACACUCAACUAUAACUACUAUGUGAUGAGCUGGUUUCGACAGCUUCCCAAUGGAAAGAUGACUGAAAUCAUCUAUCUUUAUUCUAGUAGUACAAACAGUAAGGAAGGACGAUAUUCUGUGUCACAUCAGAGAGGAAACAAAGCCAUAAGUCUCACCAUCACAGGCUUGAUGCCUACAGACUCAGGCACCUAUUUCUGUGCUGUUGGCGAAGUUCCACAAUGAGAAG